AGGACGAACGCUGGCGGCGUGCUUAACACAUGCAAGUCGAGCGGAAAGGCCCUUCGGGGUACUCGAGCGGCGAACGGGUGAGUAACACGUGAGCAACCUGCCCUUAGCUUCGGGAUGGCUCCGGGAAACCGGAAUUAAUACCGGACAUGACCUUGGUCUGCAUGGACUGAGGUGGAAAGUUUUCGGCCAGGGAUGGGGCUCGCGGCCUAUCAGCUUGGUUGGGGGGGUAACGGCCCACCAAGGCGACGACGGGUAG
rnacentral:rRNA from 1 species